AUCGCUUCUUGACCUGCACAACUUUCUGAUUUGAUGAGUUCAACAGAAACCAACUCAAGGGAGAAGAAUAAAGACAUUGUUGAACUUAGACUUUGACAAGAUGCAUAUUGGAUAUCUAAAUAGAGAUAUCAAGAAAUGAAGAUAUGCAUUUCCAGUUCCAGGGAGAAAUUCACACUGGAAAUAUAAAUUUAGGAAUUUUAAAGUUAGUGGUCACAUUUAAAGCUGCAGAAUACAAAGAGAUCACCUGUGUGAGAGAACUGAGUCCUGAAACAUACCCGUGUUUAAAGAUCUGGGAGGUGCAGAGGAAUUAUCAAAGGAGGCUGAGAAGGAGCAGCCAGUGAGGUGUGUAGAAAAACAAG